rnacentral:snRNA from 1 species
CCUGAGCGGGGUAAAGCCAGAGG